GAUGAACGCUGGCGGCGUGCCUAAUACAUGCAAGUCGAACGAAGAGCGUAAGAAGCUUGCUUCUUACAAUCUUAGUGGCGAACGGGUGAGUAAUACAUAAGCAACCUGCCUCAAUGCCUGGGAUAACUGAUGGAAACGUCAGCUAAUACCGGAUAGGUUAAGUCAAGACAUCUUGAUUUAAUUAAAGAUGGGAUACAUCACAAUGAGAUGGGCUUAUGGCGCAUUAGUUAGUUGGUGAGGUAACGGCUCACCAAGACGAUGAUGCGUAGCCGACCUGAGAGGGUGACCGGCCACACUGGGACUGAGACACGGCCCAGACUCCUACGGGAGGCAGCAGUAGGGAAUUUUCGGCAAUGGGGGAAACCCUGACCGAGCAACGCCGCGUGAGUGAAGAAGGCCUUCGGGUUGUAAAGCUCUGUUGUAAGGGAAGAACGAUAGUUAGAGGGAAUGCUAGCUAUAUGACGGUACCUUACCAGAAAGCCACGGCUAACUACGUG
rnacentral:rRNA from 1 species